GGCUCAACCCAGAGACUGCUUCCGAAACUGCUGUGCUUGAGUGUGGGAGAGGCGCGUGGAAUUGCAGGUGUAGCGGUGAAAUGCGUAGAUAUCUGCAGGAACACCCGUGGCGAAAGCGGCGCGCUGGACCACUACUGACGCUGAGGAACGAAAGCUAGGGGAGCAAACAGGAUUAGAUACCCUGGUAGUCCUAGCCCUAAACGAUCAGGACUUGGGGUGCCGCACGUUCGUGCGUCGUCCCGGAGCUAACGCGUNAAGUCCUGCACCUGGGGAGUACGGUCGCAAGACUGAAACUCAAAGGAAUUGACGGGGGCCCGCACAAGCGGUGGAACAUGUGGUUCAAUUCGACGCUACGCGAGGAACCUUACC
rnacentral:rRNA from 1 species